UACGAAGGGGGCUAGCGUUGCUCGGAAUCACUGGGCGUAAAGCGCACGUAGGCGGCUUUCUAAGUCAGGGGUGAAAUCCUGGAGCUCAACUCCAGAACUGCCUUUGAUACUGGGAGACUUGAGUCCGGGAGAGGUGAGUGGAACUGCGAGUGUAGAGGUGAAAUUCGUAGAUAUUCGCAAGAACACCAGCGGCGAAGGCGGCUCACUGGCCCGGUACUGACGCUGAGGUGCGAAAGCGUGGGGAGCAAACAGG
rnacentral:rRNA from 1 species